rnacentral:rRNA from 1 species
GCAUGAAGCCGGAAUCGCUAGUAAUCGCGGAUCAGAAUGCCGCGGUGAAUACGUUCCCGGGUCUUGUACACACCGCCCGUCACACCAUGGGAGUCGGGAAUGCCCGAAGUCAGUGGCCCAACCGGAAGGGGGGAGCUGCCGAAGGCAGGCCCGGUGACUGGGGUGAAGUCGUAACAAGGUACC